rnacentral:misc_RNA from 1 species
GUUCAUUAUAAAAUGAGAUGAUUGCACGGCUCUUAUGGGUUCCAUACUUCCAUUCUCACAUCAAUUAAUCAAACAGCCUCCAGCUACAAAUUCACCUUCUGGUUCUCAUCUAGUGAUCAAUUUUUUUUUACCUCUCUCAGUUCCCACUAGCGCUUGAGAUAUGUGGGGCUCUUUUGUUUUGGGGGGUGAUGGGUGCAUAAAUGUAGAUUUUGAGGCUUUAGAUUAUGUGAAGGUAUAAAGAGAAAGGAGUGUGUCAUAUCUGAUUCAUGCUGUGAAAGAUCAAUGGAAAGACAGUUUUUUAAAAAGGGAAGUUAGUAAAAAAACCAGAUCUUAUUGUUACUUCAAUUUUGCAUUUUUCAUUGUCAGAAGUCAGGCUUUCAAAAUAUUAGGGAUAAAAGUGAAAGGUUUGUCUUAUUCUUGCUUAUUUCUCACCCCCCCUACUCUCCUUUUCUCUGUUCUUGAUGUAUUUGGGUUCUUCAAAAAGCCAUCCACCACAGCGAUUCUCUCAAGCUUUUCCAGGUCAGAAAGUAGGAAUUUGAAUAGAAAAAGUAUCUGGGAUUCUCUUAAAUCAAUCAUUUCUUUUCUAUUUGUUUUGAAGAUUCUGAAACAAGCAAGAUAAAUCUUACUAGAAAUCUUUUUUAAUUCAAUUUGCUUUCCAUGUUGCAGAUAUCCCCUAAGAAUCUAAGGAGAACUGCGACUUUAGGAGGUUCUCAAUCCAAGAA